rfam:Aedes albopictus isolate Foshan contig81943, whole genome shotgun sequence.
UGUUCUGUAACUUAGUUUGUUAAAGUGCCGGUCUAGCGAAUACGGAGUCGUGGGUUUAAAUCCCACCAAAACGC